rnacentral:tRNA from 1 species
AUUCGGAUAGCUUAAACCUAAAGCAUAGUGCUGAAAACACUAAAAUGGGCCCACAAACCCUUCGAAUA